rnacentral:misc_RNA from 1 species
CGCACCUUGCGCUCCCUGGUAUUCCGGGGAGCAUGCCUGUUUGAGUGUCAUGAACUCUUCAACCCACCGGUUCCUUGUUGAACCGGCUGGUGUUUGGAUUCUGAGUGUUGCUGGUCUAGCCUCUAGUGGGCCAAGGCGAAGCUCAUUCGUAAUACAUUAGCAACUCAAUUUCGAGUAUUCGGAUUGACUCGGCGUAAUAGACUAUUCGCUGAGGACACUACGCAAGUGGUGGCCGAAUUUCGAGGUAGAAGCUUCUAACUCUCAUUUGAAGUCAAAACUUUUAAGAUUAGACCUCAGAUCAGGCAGGAUUACCCGCUGAACUUAA